rnacentral:rRNA from 1 species
CGGAAUUUGUGGUGUAGCGGUGAAAUGCAUAGAUAUCACAAGGAACUCCAAUUGCGAAGGCAGCUCACUGGGGUAUAACUGACGCUGAGGCACGAAGGUGCGGGUAUCAAACAGGAUUAGAUACCCUGGUAGUCCGCACAGUAAACGAUGAAUACUCGCUGUUUGCGAUAUACAGUAAGCGGCCAAGCGAAAGCAUUAAGUAUUCCACCUGGGGAGUACGCCGGCAACGGUGAAACUCAAAGGAAUUGACGGGGGCCCGCACAAGCGGAGGAACACGUGGUUUAAUUCGAUGAUACGCGAGGAACCUUACCUGGGCUUAAAUUGCAAUUGACGGAGGCCGAAACGUCUCUUUCUUCGGACAAUUGUGAAGGUGCUGCAUGGUUGUCGUCAGCUCGUGCCGUGAGGUGUCGGCUUAAGUGCCAUAACGAGCGCAACCCUCAUUAUUAGUUACUAACAGGUUAAGCUGAGGACUCUAAUAAGACUGCCGUCGUAAGAUGUGAGGAAGGUGGGGAUGACGUCAAAUCAGCACGGCCCUUACGUCCAGGGCCACACACGUGUUACAAUGGGUGAAACAGAGGGCAGCUACCUAGCGAUAGGAUGCUAAUCCCAUAAAAUCACUCUCAGUUCGGAUUGAAGUCUGCAACUCGACUUCAUGAAGCUGGAUUCGCUAGUAAUCGCGCAUCAGCCACGGCGCGGUGAAUACGUUCCCGGGCCUUGUACACACCGCCCGUCAAGCCAUGGGAGCUGGGGGUACCUGAAGUACGUAACCGCAAGGAGCGUCCUAGGGUAAAUCUGGUGACUGGGGCUAAGUCGUAACAAGGUAACCCGAAAGGGCGAAUUCGUAACUCG